rnacentral:rRNA from 1 species
AGAGUCACUCCUACGGGAGGCAGCAGUGGGGAAUUGUUCGCAAUGGGCGCAAGCCUGACGACGCAACGCCGCGUGGAGGAUGAAGAUCUUCGGGUCGUAAACUCCUUUCGAUUGGGAAGAAUUCCUUUGUGAUGAACAAUCCGCGUGGAUGACGGUACCUGCAGAAGCAGCUGCGGCUAACUUCGUGCCAGCAGCCGCGGUAAUACGAAGGGGGCGAGCGUUGUUCGGAAUUACUGGGCGUAAAGCGCGUGUAGGCGGUUGUCCAAGUUGGAUGUGAAAGCCCCGGGCUUAACCUGGGAGGUGCGCUUGGGACUGGGUGGCUAGAGAUCGGGAGAGGAGAGUGGAAUUCCCAGUGUAGAGGUGAAAUUCGUAGAUAUUGGGAAGAACACCGGUGGCGAAGGCGGCUCUCUGGACCGAUACUGACGCUGAGGAGCGAAAGCCAGGGGAGCAAACGGGAUUAGAUACCCCGGUAGUCCUAGCCCUAAACUAUGGAUGCUUGGUGUGAUGGGUACCCAAUCCCAUCGUGCCGAAGCUAACGCGAUAAGCAUCCCGCCUGGGGAGUACGGUCGCAAGGCUGAAACUUAAAGGAAUUGACG